UACGGAGGGAGCUAGCGUUGUUCGGAAUUACUGGGCGUAAAGCGUACGUAGGCGGUUAUUCAAGUCAGAGGUGAAAGCCCGGGGCUCAACCCCGGAACUGCCUUUGAAACUAGAUAGCUAGAAUCUUGGAGAGGUCAGUGGAAUUCCGAGUGUAGAGGUGAAAUUCGUAGAUAUUCGGAAGAACACCAGUGGCGAAGGCGACUGACUGGACAAGUAUUGACGCUGAGGUACGAAAGCCAGGGGAGCAAACGGG
rnacentral:rRNA from 1 species